rnacentral:lncRNA from 1 species
GGGUCUCCAGGCUGGGGGGUCCCCAUGCCUGGAUGCAGGACCUUGGGGAAGGAGAAGCUGGAGAUAAGGAGAGAGAGGGGCUCUGGAGGGGAAGGGAGAGGAGGAGAGGAGAUGAGGAGGGGGCUCCCCUCUCCUGUGCCCCCUGAGGAGUGGGAGGUCUUCCUAACCAAGGAUGGAAACCCAGAACCUGGGAAAUAUGAGAGAAACAUAUUUGCAUAACACUUAAAAAGUGUUGCAAGGCAAUAUGCAAAAGGCUUGAGGAAAAAUUUGGAACACUUAGAAGGGCAUAGAGUUAAUAGCUAUAAUACGUAAAGAGUGCUUGCAAAUUGACAAGAAGAUAUCAAACAACCCCCACCCAAGAAGGACAAGCCUAGGAGGGGGAGGGGGAGGGAAGAAGAGACUGCCCCCUCCCACUCUCUAGGAGCCUGGAGACUUUCUUAACCAAGGCUGGAAAUUUUGAAUCUAUAAGAUAAACAGAGGACCUGUUGAACCGUAUAAAACUUAAACCUUUUGUGUAGGAACAAACACAAACAACAACCUAAUCUGGGGAAAAAAUAGGCAAUUCUUGUAACAUACAAUGGACACUCACCCAUCAGCAAGCAGAAAUGACACAAGUCAAAGGAGAAAUGAAGAAGCAGCACAGGAAGGAGAGGGAGGCUGGGAUCUCGUGGGGGACAGGGCCCCCCAUAUCCGGGAGCCUGGCCAAGGCCCUUCCAAGGCUCUGUGGAAGCUCCGGCCUCCUGCCAGGUGAGAAGAGGGUCAAGAGUGUGGAUGAGCUGAUCAGACAGACGACGGGUCAAGUCGGUGGCUCUGUGGGAGCUUCUGUCACGAUUUCCUCCCCGGGCGCUGUGGAGACCGGGACAGUCUCCAUCUCGGAAUGCCGGUGUGAGGGGCAGACGAACAAGGCAGUAAUGGUACCUACCUCUUAAUCUCAAGUUCGUGGCCGGUGCACAAUAAGCCCGUCACGGAGACACUGUGCCUGGAGAUGGAGACAGGGUUAUUCAAAUUGGCCCAAAUGAGAAGGCGGGAGGAUAGGUUCUCUCAAAUCCAUCUUCACAAAAGAAGAAAUCGGGGGGUUUUCUAGACCUGAGGGGCUCAGCAGGAGGAGUUGUGGAGAAACGAAGGGGAAGCCUGUGUUUCUUCCACUCCAGAUAAGCCCUUGGGCAACUGGACUUCUGGGCGUCCACGGCAGCUGGGGCCGUUACCUGGUGAUUGACACUUCCCUAAAGGCAUCUUUUUUCUUCUGCAAAACAAGCUCAUAAAUCCUUGUGAGCCUUGAGUCAACAAGAAAACAGCAAAUUGACAGGAUUCACUUCCUUUCAUCCGUGUCUGUGUUGGGAACAUGAUCGAAGGGUAAUGGUGUUCUUACUGAAUGUUCACAGUAACCUUGGGGUCCCUGGCUUCAGUAACGGCACGGACAGUAGGGCCCUUCCAAGUGCCACAGACCAUAUCCCGUCACUGUCAUUAUGCAAGCUCUGAGCACGGUGCCCAGCACACAGCAAGUCCUCAGUAAACGAAUACUAGCACAAUGCAACACCCACCAACAACUUGCUAUUAUCCAGGGCUGCUCAGCUAGCCCUGCUCUCUGCUGGCGCCCCCACCCCCACCCUGCUGCUGUCUUCCGCCUUGGCGGGGGGAUGCAGUGGUUAUGAGCCAAAGGCUGGAAACACUCGGAAGUGGGUUCCAAUUUGGACUCUGUCCCCUUGCUGAGUGACCUUGGGCAAGUGAACUCACUUCUCUGUGCUUCAGUUUCCUCCUACCUUCAAUGGGAUAAUAGAAAAUCAUAAGAAAUUACGAUGUAAUUUACAACUAAUAUAAUAAAAU